rnacentral:rRNA from 1 species
GAUGAACGCUGGCGGCGUGCCUAAUACAUGCAAGUCGAGCGAACAGACGAGGAGCUUGCUCCUCUGACGUUAGCGGCGGACGGGUGAGUAACACGUGGAUAACCUACCUAUAAGACUGGGAUAACUUCGGGAAACCGGAGCUAAUACCGGAUAAUAUAUUGAACCGCAUGGUUCAAUAGUGAAAGACGGUUUUGCUGUCACUUAUAGAUGGAUCCGCGCCGCAUUCGCUAGUUGGUAAGGUAACGGCUUACCAAGGCAACGAUCCGUAGCCGACCUGAGAGGGUGAACGUCCACACUGGAACUGGAACACGGUCCCGACUCCCACGGGAGGCAGCAGUAGGGAAUCUUCCCGAAAGGGCGAAUGCCUGACGGAGCAACGCCGCGGGAGUGAUGAAGAUCUUCGGAGCGUAAAACUCUGGUAUUAGGGAAGAACAAAUGUGUAAGUAACUAUGCACGUCUUGACGGUACCUAAUCAGAAAGCCACGGCUAACUACGUG